AGCGAACGCUGGCGGCAGGCUUAACACAUGCAAGUCGAGCGGGCAUCCUUGUGGUGUCAGCGGCAGACGGGUGAGUAACGCGUGGGAACGUGCCCUUCGGUUCGGAAUAACUCAGGGAAACUUGAGCUAAUACCGGAUACGUGCGAGAGCAGAAAGGUUUAUCUGCCGAAGGAUCGGCCCGCGUCUGAUUAGCUAGUUGGUGAGGUUAUGGCCCACCAAGGCGACGAUCAGUAGCUGGUCUGAGAGGAUGAUCAGCCACACUGGGACUGAGACACGGCCCAGACUCCUACGGGAGGCAGCAGUGGGGAAUAUUGGACAAUGGGGGCAACCCUGAUCCAGCCAUGCCGCGUGAGUGAUGACGGCCUUAGGGUUGUAAAGCUCUUUUCUCCGGGACGAUAAUGACGGUACCGGAGGAAUAAGCCCCGGCUAACUUCGUG
rnacentral:rRNA from 1 species